UUGCACCUACGGGGGGCAGCAGUGAGGAAUAUUGGUCAAUGGUCGGGAGACUGAACCAGCCAAGCCGCGUGAGGGAGGAAGGUACAGAGUAUCGUAAACCUCUUUUGUCAGGGAGCAAUUGGCGCUACGUGUAGCGUUAUCGAGAGUACCUGAAGAAAAAGCAUCGGCUAACUCCGUGCCAGCAGCCGCGGUAAUACGGAGGAUGCGAGCGUUAUCCGGAUUUAUUGGGUUUAAAGGGUGCGUAGGCGGAAUGCCAAGUCAGCGGUAAAAUCGCGGGGCUCAACCUCGCUCCGCCGUUGAAACUG
rnacentral:rRNA from 1 species